rnacentral:rRNA from 1 species
ACGAACGCUGGCGGCGUGCCUAAUACCUGCAAGUUGAGCGCUGAAGGUUGGUACUUGUACCAACUGGAUGAGCAGCGAACGGGUGAGUAACGCGUGGGGAAUCUGCCUUUGAGCGGGGGACAACAUUUGGAAACGAAUGCUAAUACCGCAUAAAAACUUUAAACACAAAUUUUAAGUUUGAAAGAUGCAAUUGCAUCACUCAAAGAUGAUCCCGCGUUGUAUUAGCUAGUUGGUGAGGUAAAGGCUCACCAAGGCGAUGAUACAUAGCCGACCUGAGAGGGUGAUCGGCCACAUUGGGACUGAGACACGGCCCAAACUCCUACGGGAGGCAGCAGUAGGGAAUCUUCGGCAAUGGACGAAAGUCUGACCGAGCAACGCCGCGUGAGUGAAGAAGGUUUUCGGAUCGUAAAACUCUGUUGGUAGAGAAGAACGUUGGUGAGAGUGGAAAGCUCAUCAAGUGACGGUAACUACCCAGAAAGGGACGGCUAACUACGUG